CUCUGGUCUGUCCGCUUCAGAGUCCGAAACACAAAUGGAUCAUUUCCAGCGCUGACAAUGUUUCCCCUCCUUUAGGAACCACUGGUGGGGCAUCUCUUCCUGCCAUUGUCUCCAGGAAACAGGCCGAGCUGAGAUGCGACUUGAAGCUACGCUGAACUCGUGAUGAGCCUCACGAAAUCAACAGAGCCAGUGUCACCCUCCAAGCACCAAGGACCCACAGCAUUGAGGAAACAAGUGAAGAGCCCAACUUGUGUCCACGCCCCAUUUUUGGAGGCAGAGAGCGGUGCUUGACUCUCACCUGGAUGAGUCUGAAGAUGGGAAGCUGGCUGGCACAGCCGUGGAAAG
ensembl:lncRNA